rnacentral:rRNA from 1 species
CCGGUAAACGGCGGCCGUAACUAUAACGGUCCUAAGGUAGCGAAAUUCCUUGUCGGGUAAGUUCCGACCUGCACGAAUGGCGUAAUGAUGGCCAGGCUGUCUCCACCCGAGACUCAGUGAAAUUGAACUCGCUGUGAAGAUGCAGUGUACCCGCGGCAAGACGGAAAGACCCCGUGAACCUUUACUAUAGCUUGACACUGAACAUUGAGCCUUGAUGUGUAGGAUAGGUGGGAGGCUUUGAAGUGUGGACGCCAGUCUGCAUGGAGCCGACCUUGAAAUACCACCCUUUAAUGUUUGAUGUUCUAACGUGGGCCCCUAAUCGGGGUUGCGGACAGUGUCUGGUGGGUAGUUUGACUGGGGCGGUCUCCUCCUAAAGAGUAACGGAGGAGCACGAAGGUUGGCUAAUCCUGGUCGGACAUCAGGAGGUUAGUGCAAUGGCAUAAGCCAGCUUGACUGCGAGCGUGACGGCGCGAGCAGGUGCGAAAGCAGGUCAUAGUGAUCCGGUGGUUCUGAAUGGAAGGGCCAUCGCUCAACGGAUAAAAGGUACUCCGGGGAUAACAGGCUGAUACCGCCCAAGAGUUCAUAUCGACGGCGGUGUUUGGCACCUCGAUGUCGGCUCAUCACAUCCUGGGGCUGAAGUAGGUCCCAAGGGUAUGGCUGUUCGCCAUUUAAAGUGGUACGCGAGCUGGGUUUAGAACGUCGUGAGACAGUUCGGUCCCUAUCUGCCGUGGGCGCUGGAGAACUGAGGGGGGCUGCUCCUAGUACGAGAGGACCGGAGUGGACGCAUCACUGGUGUUCGGGUUGUCAUGCCAAUGGCACUGCCCGGUAGCUAAAUGCGGAAGAGAUAAGUGCUGAAAGCAUCUAAGCACGAAACUUGCCCCGAGAUGAGUUCUCCCUGAGACUUAGAGUCUCCUGAAGGAACGUUGAAGACGACGACGUUGAUAGGCCGGGUGUGUAAGCGCAGCGAUGCGUUGAGCUAACCGGUACUAAUGAACCGUGAGGCUUAACCUUACAACGCCGAAG